GGUCAUUGAAGUUUCAAAAGCUAGACCCUGGCCAGGGUCUUUCUCUUCCUGCCGCGCUCCCUCAGAACUGGCUGAAGAACACUAGCUACUUCUCCAGCUGCGUGCCGCCAUGUUCCCUGUCAUGGGGAUAAAGGGACUAAAUCCCUCUGAAACGGAGCAGCGCUGUUUUCUGUGGACCCUUGUCUAGUUGUGGCGGUUGCUGGGAAAGAUGAAGUCCCCAGACUGGAGCUCAGGCUGCAAAGAGGCUGGCAUGGCACCUGGAUACCGAGCCACUCCUUGACAAAAGCCCUCUCCAGCCUGCGUGGACCUCGCGUGAGAGAAGUCUAGGUGGCUGUGGGCAGCCCACAGGCUUCCGUUGCCGCUGCGUUACAGCUUGUCGUCUUAAUCUUGAAAUGAGACCUGGUUCACUUGAUCUCAUUAAUAAAAGGUCUGUGCUCCCCCUAGUCAUAAAAACA
rnacentral:lncRNA from 1 species